rfam:Felis catus isolate Cinnamon breed Abyssinian chromosome C2, whole genome shotgun sequence.
GCCUGGGUGGCUUAGUUGGUUAAGCGUCUGACUUCAGCUCAGGUCAUGAUCUCACAGUCUGAGUUCAAGCCCCACAUCAGGCU